UGGGGAAUUUUGGACAAUGGGCGAAAGCCUGAUCCAGCAAUGCCGCGUGUGUGAAGAAGGCCUUCGGGUUGUAAAGCACUUUUGUCCGGAAAGAAAUCCUUGGCUCUAAUACAGUCGGGGGAUGACGGUACCGGAAGAAUAAGCACCGGCUAACUACGUGCCAGCAGCCGCGGUAAUACGUAGGGUGCAAGCGUUAAUCGGAAUUACUGGGCGUAAAGCGUGCGCAGGCGGUUUGCUAAGGCCGAUGUGAAAUCCCCGGGCUCAACCUGGGAACUGCAUUGGUGACUGGCAGGCUAGAGUAUGGCAGAGGGGGGUAGAAUUCCACGUGUAGCAGUGAAAUGCGUAGAGAUGUGGAGGAAUACCGAUGGCGAAGGCAGCCCCCUGGGCCAAUACUGACGCUCAUGCACGAAAGCGUGGGGAGCAAAACAGGAUUAGAUACCCUGGUAGUCCACGCCCUAAACGAUGUCAACUAGUUGUUGGGAUUCAUUUCCUUAGUAACGUAGCUAACGCGUGAAGUUGACCGCCUGGGGAGUACGGUCGCAAGAUUAAAACUUAAAUGAAUUGACGGGGUCAUAGCUG
rnacentral:rRNA from 1 species